AUUGAACGCUGGCGGCAGGCCUAACACAUGCAAGUCGAGCGGUAACAGGAAACAGCUUGCUGUUUCGCUGACGAGUGGCGGACGGGUGAGUAAUGUCUGGGAAACUGCCUGAUGGAGGGGGAUAACUACUGGAAACGGUAGCUAAUACCGCAUAACGUCGCAAGACCAAAGAGGGGGACCUUCGGGCCUCUUGCCAUCGGAUGUGCCCAGAUGGGAUUAGCUAGUAGGUGGGGUAACGGCUCACCUAGGCGACGAUCCCUAGCUGGUCUGAGAGGAUGACCAGCCACACUGGAACUGAGACACGGUCCAGACUCCUACGGGAGGCAGCAGUGGGGAAUAUUGCACAAUGGGCGCAAGCCUGAUGCAGCCAUGCCGCGUGUAUGAAGAAGGCCUUCGGGUUGUAAAGUACUUUCAGCGGGGAGGAAGGGAGUAAAGUUAAUACCUUUACUCAUUGACGUUACCCGCAGAAGAAGCACCGGCUAACUCCGUG
rnacentral:rRNA from 1 species